CUACGGGCGGCAGCAGUGAGGAAUUUUGCGCAAUGGGGGAAACCCUGACGCAGCAACGCCGCGUGAGUGAAGAAGGCUUUCGGGUCGUAAAGCUCUGUCAGAUAGGAAAAAAGUUCAUAUGUAAAUAGCUUAUGAAUCUGAUGGUACUAUCAGAGGAAGCACCGGCUAACUCCGUGCCAGCAGCCGCGGUAAUACGGAGGGUGCAAGCGUUGUUCGGAAUUACUGGGCGUAAAUGGCGUGUAGGCGGUAUGGUAAGUCAGAUGUGAAAGCCCUGGGCUUAACUCAGGAAGUGCAUUUGUACUGCAAUACUUGAGUAUGGGAGAGGAGAGUAGAAUUCCCAGUGUAGAGGUGAAAUUCGUAGAUAUUGGGAGGAAUACCCGUGGCGAAGGCGACUCUCUGGACCAAUACUGACGCUGAGACGCGAAAGCGUGGGGAGCAAACAGGAUUAGAUACCCGCGUAGUC
rnacentral:rRNA from 1 species